CGCCUCUUGCAUAAUAUAAGUAUAAGAGGUCCUGCCUGCCCUGUGACUACAUGUUUAACGGCCGCGGUAUUUUGACCGUGCGAAGGUAGCGCAAUCACUUGUCUUUUAAAUUAGGACCUGUAUGAAUGGCACGACGAGGGCUUAACUGUCUCCUUCUCUUGGUCAAUGAAAUUGAUUUACCCGUGAAGAAGCGGGUAUAAAUACAUUAGACGAGAAGACCCUGUGGAGCUUCUAGAUAUAUAAAUAAAUUAUAUUAAAUUAACCAAUUAAAGGGAUUAGCUUUACAAAACUUAUUUAAAUGUCUUUGGUUGGGGCAACCACGGGGAAAAAAGAAACCCCCAUUGAGGAAAAAGAUUAAAUUCCUAUAAAUUAUGAAUUACAAUUCUAAAUAACAGAAUAUCUGUCCUUAAGAUCCGGCCACGCCGAUUAACGAACCAAGUUACCCUAGGGAUAACAGCGCAAUCCUCUCUUAGAGUUCUUAUCAACGAGCGGGUUUACGACCUCGAUGUUGGAUCAGGACAUCCUAAUGGUGCAGCCGCUAUUAAGGGUUCGUUUGUUCAACGAUUAAAGUCCU
rnacentral:rRNA from 1 species